UUCCUAUUCUACCUGACCAACAAUCAUAUCAAUCCUAUCUGUUCUACAUAGUACAUUUCUAUCUGAACGUUCUGUAACAUUAUCCCACUGAACAGGCCAGUUCAGUCAGCUUGGAGAGGAGGAUGACUGUGAAGAGGAAGAAAAAACAGAAAAAGGGAGAAAAACACAUCUAACAACUGAGAGAACAGAAAGUACAUGUACUUUCUGUAAGCAUGAGUGGGUUAGCUGUUGGAGGGAUGCUGAACUGACUGUGUCUGAGCUGUGGACCAGUCUCUGUUGUUACUGGAGGGAUGCUGAACUGAUUGUGUCUGAGCUGUGGACCAGUCUCUGUUGUUACUGGAGGGAUGCUGAACUGACUGUGUCUGAGCUGUGGACCCGUCUCUGUUGUUACUGGAGGGAUGCUGAACUGACUGUGUCUGAGCUAUGGACCCGUCUCUGUUGUUACUGGAGGGAUGCUGAACUGACUGUGUCUGAGCUGUGGACCCGUCUCUGUUGUUACUGGAGGGAUGCUGAACUGACUGUGUCUGAGCUGUGGACCUGUCUCUGUUGUUACUGGAGGGAUGCUGAACUGACUGUGUCUGAGCUGUGGACCUAUCUCUGUUGUUACUGGAGGGAUGCUGAACUGACUGUGUCUGAGCUAUGGACCUGUCUCUGUUGUUACUGGAGGGAUGCUGAACUGACUGUGUCUGAGCUAUGGACCUGUCUCUGUUGUACUGAAGGGAUGCUGAACUGACUGUGUCUGAGCUGUGGACCUGUCUCUGUUGUUACUGGAGGGAUGCUGAACUGAUUGUGUCUGAGCUGUGGACCAGUCACUGUUGUUACUGGAGGUAUGCUGAACUGACUGUGUCUGAGCUGUGGACCUGUCUCUGUUGUGCUGUAAAUCUGAGGGUCAUGGAGCUGGUUCAUCUCCAGAGUUAUCCGUCACCCAGGGAGACAUACACACACACACACACACACACAGUGGGACUGAAUAGAUGUUUAGUUCCUCCUCUCCCUCGGCCCUGCGCUACACUCCUCUCAGUGUGACUCCCAAAUGCAACCCUAUUCUAGAAAGUGCACAAUGUAGGGAAUAGGGUGCUAUUUGGGACUUAGCCAGAAAGAGGAAAUAUGACCAGUAAAUUCAAACAGUUAGUCAUUGCAGGACCAGGGCACUGCCAGUCCCUAACUCUUUUUCCUGUUGCCUGGCCUGUGUGUUUAACGAGCCAGGGGACUGGCUGAAAAACUACCUGAUGACACUGAGGACAUGAGAGAUAUGAAAGAGUGGAAAUGUGGAGGGAAAGAAGGGAGAGAGAGGCUGCGAUACUAGAGUCCCAGAUCUGUUUGUGCUGUCUUGCCAACUCCUAUGUCAUUGUCACACUGGCCAGAGAGUGGUAGGGAAUUGGAAUGAAACAGUGCCCCCCCCCCACACACACACACGCGGGAACUGCAACUGGAAGGAAACUGAAAUGAUGUGCUGAAUACAUGAUUGAAAGUCUCCUCAUCUCCUCAAUUUGUGCUCUGUGCUGUGUGUUACACCAUCCUGUUUUCACUAAAUCAUUCAUAGCAAAUUAAGUCUAUUAUUCAAAUACAAACUCCCUCACACACAGACUGAGAGUCAUUCCCAUCGCACGUUGUCCAGAAUGCAUUUUUUUAAAGGCAAUGUUCCCGCAUUCACGGAGACCAUACUCACUGUAAAUGGUGUAUAUGUCGGCUCAAUGGGAAAUUACCUUUAAAUGGAGCAUUGUCCUAAUCCGCAAUCUGAUUGAAUCUCGACCAUAGUCUGCAUUUGAAAUAUCGCCAUAUUCCCUAUAUAGUGCACCGGAUUCCAUAGGGCACUGGUCAAAAGAAGGGACCUAUAUAGAGAAUAGAUGGCUAUUUCAGACACAGGCACUGUCUCACCAACAGUCUUAUCACAUUGUAAACAAACACACACAUGAAAUAAAUCAUUCAUACCAGAUGAA